rnacentral:rRNA from 1 species
CCAUGCGAGUCAUUGUAGCAAUACAAGGCAGACGGCUCAGUAACGCGUAGUCAAUCUACCCUGUUGACGGGGAUAACCUCGGGAAACUGGGAAUAAUACCCGAUAGAACAUUAUGCCUGGAAUGGUUUAUGUUUCAAAUGAUUUAUCGCAAUAGGAUGGGACUGCGGCCUAUCAGUUUGUUGGUGAGGUAAUGGCCCACCAAGACUAUUACAGGUACGGGCUCUGAGAGGAGUGGCCCGGAGAUGGGUACUGAGACACGGACCCAGGCCCUAUGGGGCGCAGCGGGCGAGAAAACUUUGCAAUGUGCGAAAGCACGACAAGGUUAACCCGAGUGGUUUCUGCUAAAGAAACCUUUUGUCAGUCCUAGAAACACUGAUGAAUAAGGGGUGGGCAAGUUCUGGUGUCAGCCGCCGCGGUAAAACCAGCACCUCAAGUGGUCAGGAUGAUUAUUGGGCCUAAAGCAUCCGUAGCUUGUUUUGUAAGUUUUCGGUUAAAUCCAUACGCUUAACGUAUGGGCUGCCGGGAAUACUGCAUAACUAGGAAGUGGGAGAGGUAGACGGUACUCGGUAGGAAGGGGUAAAAUCCUUUGAUCUAUUGAUGACCACCUGUGGCGAAGGCGGUCUACCAGAACACGUUCGACGGUGAGGGAUGAAAGCUGGGGGAGCAAACCGGAUUAGAUACCCGGGUAGUCCCAGCUGUAAACUAUGCAAACUCAGUGAUGCAUUGGCUUGUGGCCAAUGCAGUGCUGCAGGGAAGCCGUUAAGUUUGCCGCCUGGGAAGUACGUACGCAAGUAUGAAACUUAAAGGAAUUGGCGGGGGAGCACCACAAGGGGUGAAGCCUGCGGUUCAAUUGGAUUCAA